rnacentral:rRNA from 1 species
ACGCUCGACACCACGGGGGCAGCAGUAGGGAAUCUUCCACAAUGGGCGCAAGCCUGAUGGAGCAACACCGCGUGAGUGAAGAAGGGUUUCGGCUCGUAAAGCUCUGUUGUUGGAGAAGAACGUGCGUGAGAGUAACUGUUCACGCAGUGACGGUAUCCAACCAGAAAGUCACGGCUAACUACGUGCUAGCAGCCGCGGUAAUCUGAGCGGGCUGGCAAGGC